rnacentral:rRNA from 1 species
UACGUAGGGGGCAAGCGUUGUCCGGAUUUAUUGGGCGUAAAGAGCGUGUAGGCGGCUUGGUAGGUCCGCUGUGAAAACUCGAGGCUCAACCUCGAGAUGUCGGCGGAAACCACUUGGCUAGAGUCCGGAAGAGGAGAGUGGAAUUCCUGGUGUAGCGGUGAAAUGCGCAGAUAUCUGGAGGAACACCGGUGGCGAAGGCGGCAUCCUGGACCGGCAUUGACGCUGAGGCGCGAAAGCCAGGGGAGCAAACGGG